GCUUGGCAUAGCUCAGUUGAUAAAGUAUGAGACUCUUAAUCUCAGGGUCGUGGGUUUGAGCCCCAUUUUGGACA